rnacentral:rRNA from 1 species
AGUGAACGCUGGCGGUAGGCCUAACACAUGCAAGUCGAACGGCAGCACAGUAAGAGCUUGCUCUUACGGGUGGCGAGUGGCGGACGGGUGAGGAAUACAUCGGAAUCUACUUUUUCGUGGGGGAUAACGUAGGGAAACUUACGCUAAUACCGCAUACGACCUACGGGUGAAAGCAGGGGAUCUUCGGACCUUGCGCGAUUGAAUGAGCCGAUGUCGGAUUAGCUAGUUGGCGGGGUAAAGGCCCACCAAGGCGACGAUCCGUAGCUGGUCUGAGAGGAUGAUCAGCCACACUGGAACUGAGACACGGUCCAGACUCCUACGGGAGGCAGCAGUGGGGAAUAUUGGACAAGGGGCGCAAGCCUGAUCCAGCCAUCCCGCGUGGGUGAAGAAGGCCUUCGGGUUGUAAACCCUUUUUGUUGGAAAAGAAAACCAGCAAGUUAAUCCCCCGCUGUUCUGACGUUACCAAAAGAAUAAGCACCGGCUAACUUCGUG